rnacentral:rRNA from 1 species
UACGUAGGUGGCAAGCGUUAUCCGGAAUUACUGGGCGUAAAGGGCUCGUAGGCGGCCAACUAAGUCAGACGUGAAAUCCCUCGGCUUAACCGGGGAACUGCGUCUGAUACUGGAUGGCUUGAGGUUGGGAGAGGGAUGCGGAAUUCCAGGUGUAGCGGUGAAAUGCGUAGAUAUCUGGAGGAACACCGGUGGCGAAGGCGGCAUCCUGGACCAAUUCUGACGCUGAGGAGCGAAAGCUAGGGGAGCAAACGGG